UACGAAGGGGGCUAGCGUUGUUCGGAUUUACUGGGCGUAAAGCGCACGUAGGCGGAUCGUUAAGUCGGGGGUGAAAUCCUGGAGCUCAACUCCAGAACUGCCUUCGAUACUGGCGAUCUUGAGUCCGGAAGAGGUGAGUGGAACUCCUAGUGUAGAGGUGGAAUUCGUAGAUAUUCGGAAGAACACCAGCGGCGAAGGCGACUCACUGGCCCAUUACUGACGCUC
rnacentral:rRNA from 1 species